rnacentral:tRNA from 1 species
GCGGUUGUGGCGGAACUGGCAGACGCACCAUCUUGAGGGGGUGGCGGUGAACAGCCGUGUGGGUUCAAAUCCCACCAACCGCACCA